GGAUCUGAACAGAGUUAAGCCG
rnacentral:siRNA from 1 species